AUCGCUUCUCGACCUUUUGGCUAAGAUCAAAGUGUAGUAUCCGUGAUCGUAAAUUAUGAAACUAAGGAUUCAAAAUUGGCGAGGAAUCGGUACAAAUAAAACCAACUCGUCUUUUUGCCAACGUUUCGACCAAUAUAUUGUCCUCUUCAGGGCCUGGAUAUUACAAAUACCUAAC
rnacentral:snRNA from 1 species